UUCGGCCACAUCACGUUGUAACACCAGUUCCCGUACAAUCAUUGAAGUUAAGCAACGUUGAGCCUGGUCGCUAUCUAGAUGGGUAACCACCUGGGAAUGCCAGGUUUUGUAAG